AUACAGGAAACCCCCAUUUCCGUCCGAUCACCGAAGUUAAGCAAUGCCAAGCCUGGUCAAUACUUAGAUGGGUGGCCGCUUGGGAAUAACAGGUGCUGUAC